rnacentral:rRNA from 1 species
UGCAAGUCGAACGGCGUCCCUCGGGGCGCAGUGGCGCACGGGUGCGUAACGCGUAUGCAACCUACCUUGAACUGGGGGAUAGCCCGGAGAAAUCCGGAUUAAUACCGCAUAACACCAUGUGAGGGCAUCUGAGUAUGGUUAAAGAUUCAUUGGUUCAAGAUGGGCAUGCGUGCCAUUAGCUAGUUGGUGGUGUAACGGACCACCAAGGCUACGAUGGCUAGGGGUUCUGAGAGGACGGUCCCCCACACUGGCACUGAGAUACGGGCCAGACUCCUACGGGAGGCAGCAGUAGGGAAUAUUGGGCAAUGGGCGGAAGCCUGACCCAGCCAUGCCGCGUGCAGGAUGAAGGCCUUCUGGGUUGUAAACUGCUUUUAUCAGGGAAGAAAACACCCAUGCGUGGGGAACUGACGGUACCUGAGGAAUAAGCACCGGCUAACUCCGUGCCAGCAGCCGCGGUAAUACGGAGGGUGCAAGCGUUGUCCGGAUUUAUUGGGUUUAAAGGGUGCGUAGGCGGCCCAUUAAGUCAGUGGUGAAAGCCCGGGGCUCAACCCCGGAACCGCCAUUGAUACUGGUGGGCUUGAGUAUGGACGAGGUUGGCGGAAUUGAGGGUGUAGCGGUGAAAUGCUUAGAUACCCUCAAGAACACCGAUUGCGUAGGCAGCUAACUAGGCCAUAACUGACGCUGAGGCACGAAAGCGUGGGGAGCGAACAGGAUUAGAUACCCUGGUAGUCCACGCCGUAAACGAUGAUUACUCGAUGUCGGCGACAGACUGUCGGCGUCUUAGCGAAAGCGUUAAGUAAUCCACCUGGGGAGUACGCCCGCAAGGGUGAAACUCAAAGGAAUUGACGGGGGCCCGCACAAGCGGUGGAGCAUGUGGUUUAAUUCGAUGAU